UACAGGGGGGGCAAGCGUUGUUCGGAAUUACUGGGCGUAAAGGGCGCGUAGGCGGUCGUGACAAGUCACUUGUGAAAUCUCCGGGCUUAACUCGGAACGGUCAAGUGAUACUGUCGGACUAGAGUACAGAAGGGGCAACUGGAAUUCUCGGUGUAGCGGUGAAAUGCGUAGAUAUCGAGAGGAACACCUGCGGCGAAGGCGGGUUGCUGGGCUGAUACUGACGCUGAGGCGCGAAAGCCAGGGAGGCGAACGGG
rnacentral:rRNA from 1 species